AAACUGCAGAAGAGAAAACUGUGAAUAAAAGGGAACAACUGUACCCUUACAACCACCACUGUAAUCAAGAGGUAUAACAGCUUCAUCAGUUCAACACUGAAACUGGACAUUGUAGAAGAUGAAUUAUGAGAGUGAUUUAUGAAAGAAAGACAGUGGAGAAUUGCAAUCGAUGGAGACAUUCAAAGAAAAGACUUUGGCACUACAUCAAAAGAGAGUAGAAUAAGUAGUCUUUGCUUAUACAUUUUAAAUGAAAAUAAAUGUUUAUCAUACAUAUUUGCUGUUUUUUAAACUGUAAUUCAAUUACUAAGGCUGAAGGGAAGAAUGGAUGUUGGAUAAAGAACUUUCGAUUCUGUCAUUGUUAGUAUUAUUUGUGUGCGUAUGUGUGUGUGUGUGUGUGUGUGAAUGUUGAGCUUCUCAGCUUCAAUAGUUAGCAGGAAAAAGCACUGAAUCGUGAAGCAUAAACUACAAAUAUAGCAUCUGUAUGAUAUUCUCUUUAAAAAAUGGUAAAAUUCUAGGAAACAGUCUUUGGUGCUUGCUUUUUUAGAAUGAUUGGCAUGGGAUCUGAGUCUUAGUUUCAGCUUUUAUGACUGCUUUUUACUGCAUCAAAUAUUUGACCAGGCAAAGUACAUUUCAAUGAACAGCUUUACUCCCCUUUAAAAGAAUCUGAAAGUCCAGCUAAAACUCCUCAUCAAGUUAGCUGGGAUCAUGGUGUUCAUUUUGGAUGAGGCAAUGUACUAAUUCAUUCAGUCAGCUCGAUUUGACAUUUCUGGGUUAGGGUAUCUUCCUUAAAAGUUACACAAUAAGUUGGAAUUAAAGUGCUCUGCUU
rnacentral:lncRNA from 1 species